CAAGGCCCUCCCUCCCAGCCUCGUGACCCUAAUCGCGGCUUCCAGCACCUCAAACAUGACCACUGAGCUCACAGCAGCCCCCGGCCAGGAACACCUGUCCCCAGGCUGCACUCCCGGCCCUGUCCUGCAGACCUCCGCGUCAAAGGCCCCCAACGGGACAGGGGUCCUCUAACUGCCCCCCGCCUCUGCGCGCCCUCUGUUCCAUUCCUUUUUGCCCCCUGCCUGAGACACGCACAAUCUUGUUGCAUCCAUCCUCUUCCCACCCUGCGCCCGUGUGUCAUCGUGGCCCUACUGCGUCCUCAGAGCAGGAGGGUGCAGCGACACGGCAGGCACUGGGUAAAUGCCCCAUGGUAGGGGUGUGUGAGCGGCGUCGGGGUGGGGCUGCUGUGAGGGGCAGCUCCUGUGGGCAGCUCCUCUUGUGGCUGGGGCGGAGCUGGGGGCACCCGGAGUUGGGGCGGGAGAGACGGGACUCAGGACUUAGAGGGAGCGGAAGGGGGCGGGGCUGGGAAGGGAGGUGGGGCGGGGAGCUGGGGGAGCGGGUGGGAUGGCGCUGUGUGGGGCCAAGCUGAGUCGGGGGGUGGGAUGCAGCUGGGCGUGGCUGAGUGGGGGCGGAGCUGAGUGGGGGGCAGGAUGCAGCUGGGCCACUCAUUGUAGGAAUUGCUGGAAGGGGCUGGUGGAGCAGGUCUGGUUGUGGGAGUCGGGUGGUGGCAGUGGGCGGGGCCGGCGGUGAUGGGAGGGGCCUGUGGGUGGGGGCAGGGCCGGUGGUGGAGGGCGGGGCCGGCGGGGAGGGGUCUGUGUGUGGGCGGGGCUGGGGCGGGGCGGGGCGGUGCAGGGAGCUGGGCGGAUCGGGCCCCCGGCCCACUUUGCACGCUCCCCAGGCACGGCGGGCGUGAUGAUCUCUCUGAGCCGCAUCCUCACGAAGCUACUGCUGCCCGACGAGUGCGCCAGCACGCUCAUCUUCUUCCUGGUGUCGGUGGCGCUGGAGCUGCUGUGCUUCCUGCUGCACCUGUUAGUGCGGCGCAGCCGCUUCGUGCUCUUCUAUACCACACGGCCGCGCGACAGCCGCUGGGGCAGGCCAGGCCCGGGCAGGGGCUCUGGCUACCGCGUGCACCACGACGUUGUCGCCGGGGACGUCCACUUCGAGCACCCAGCCCCGGCCCUGGCCCCCGACGGGUCCCCAAAGGACAGCCCAGCCCACGAGGUGACCAGCAGCAGCGGGGCCUACAUGCGCUUUCAUGUGCCAUGGCCAAGGGUCCAGCGCAGCUGGCCCACCUUCAGAGCCCUGUUUCUGCAUCACUACGUGGUGGCGUGGGUGAUCUGGGCCGACAUGCUCCCCAUCGCCGUGACCUACUUCAUGACGCUGUGCCUGUUCCCCGGCCUCGAGUCUGA
rnacentral:lncRNA from 1 species